AUUGAACGCUGGCGGCAUGCCUUACACAUGCAAGUCGAACGGUAACGGGCCUUCGGGUGCCGACGAGUGGCGAACGGGUGAGUAAUGCAUCGGAACGUACCUUUCAGUGGGGGAUAACGUAGCGAAAGUUACGCUAAUACCGCAUAUUCUGUGAGCAGGAAAGCAGGGGAUCGCAAGACCUUGCGCUGAUUGAGCGGCCGAUGUCAGAUUAGCUAGUUGGUGAGGUAAAGGCUCACCAAGGCGACGAUCUGUAGCGGGUCUGAGAGGAUGAUCCGCCACACUGGGACUGAGACACGGCCCAGACUCCUACGGGAGGCAGCAGUGGGGAAUUUUGGACAAUGGGCGCAAGCCUGAUCCAGCCAUGCCGCGUGCGGGAAGAAGGCCUUC
rnacentral:rRNA from 1 species